ACAGUGCUUAUGAGGUGAUCAAACUGAAAGGCUACACAUCCUGGGCCAUUGGACUGUCUGUGGCAGAUCUGGCAGAAAGUAUAAUGAAGAAUCUUAGGCGUGUGCAUCCGAUUUCCACCAUGAUUAAGGGUCUCUAUGGAAUAAAGGAUGAUGUCUUCCUUAGUGUUCCUUGCAUCUUGGGACAGAAUGGAAUCUCAGACGUUGUGAAGGUGACUCUGACUGCUGAGGAAGAGGCCCGUUUGAAGAAGAGUGCAGAUACACUUUGGGGGAUCCAAAAAGAGCUGCAAUUUUAAAAUCUUCUAAUGUCACACCACUUCACUGUCUAGGCUACAACAGGAUUUUAGUUGGAGGUUAUGCAUGUUGUCCUUUUUAUCUGAUCUGUGGUUAAAGCAGUAAUAUUAAGAUAGCCUGGGGAAAACAUCAAUGUCUUAAAGUUAGAAAUGGGAAUGGUUCGUAAAACCCUACAGCUUUAUCCUGACAAUGGAUGGUCUUUACCCUGUGUCACCCUAAACUGGUUAUAGUGGAAAAUAGUUCCACCGCUGCUGAAGCACCACUGCCAAUGCUGCACAGGCUGCAGUUGCCCUUCGAACCAGAUGUGUGUUUACCAUGUGCUAUAUAACUUCUGGUUCCUUCACCCAACAUGCCUAGUCCAGCUUUUUCCCAAUCAGUCACAUCCUGGGAUCCAAUGUAUAAAUCCAACAUUGCAUGUCCUUGUGCAUAACUGUUCUAAAGGAUCUUAUUUUGUGUACUAUAUGUAUCAGUGGUAUAGAUUGCCAUAUAAUGUAAAAAAAUCUGCAUAUAAACAAUGCAACCAACUAUCCAAAUGUCAUACCAACUAAACCAUCAAAUAAAUAAACCUUGAACAGUGA